rnacentral:sRNA from 1 species
AUUUUGUUUUUCUUCUUCAGU